rfam:Camelus ferus unplaced genomic scaffold scaffold642, whole genome shotgun sequence.
GAGGGUAUAGCUCAGUGGUAGAGCUCAUGCUCAGCAUGCACAAGGUCUUGGGUUCAAUCCCCAGUACCUCUA